rnacentral:tRNA from 1 species
GGUUGUAUAGUGUAGUGGUUAUCACUCCAGAUUUUGAUGACAUUCAAACCUUCUGGUAACCCCGGUUCGAACCCGGGUACGACCU